UACGUAGGGGCUAGCGUUGUCCGGAUUUACUGGGCGUAAAGAGCGCGCAGGCGGUCGUUCAAGUCGCGUGUGAAAGCCCCCGGCUCAACUGGGGAGGGUCACGCGAUACUGAUCGACUCGAAGGCAGGAGAGGGAAGUGGAAUUCCCGGUGUAGUGGUGAAAUGCGUAGAUAUCGAGAGGAACACCAGUGGCGAAGGCGAGUCCCUGGACAACACCUGACACUGAGGCACGAAAGCUAGGGGAGCAAACAGG
rnacentral:rRNA from 1 species